GCGGCCGGCGGCCGCCGCGCUCGCCUGACCUGCGUGCCCCGCUGGCCGCGCCGGGCUGCCCCGAAGGAUGUCCGCCCAGUCCAAGGGGACCGCAUCCUCCUCCUCCUCGCCGUCCGAGGGGCCGCCGGCAGCCUCCAAAACCAAGGUGAAGGAGCAGAUCAAGAUCAUCGUGGAGGAUUUGGAAUUAGUCCUGGGAGACCUGAAAGAUGUCGCCAAGGAACUUAAGGAGGUGGUUGACCAGAUUGACACACUGACAUGUGAUCUGCAGCUGGAGGAUGAGAUGACAGACAGCUCCAAAACAGACACCCUGAACAGCAGCUCCAGCAGCACAACGGCCUCCAGCCUGGAGAAGGUGAAGGUGCGGGGCAGCGCGCCGCUCAUCAAGCCGCCCGCGCACCCCUCCGCCAUCCUCACCGUGCUGCGCAAGCCCAACCCGCCCCCUCCGCCGCCUCGCCUGACGCCCGUCAGGUGCGAUGAGCCCCCCAGGCUGCCUCCCUUGGCCAACCCGCUCAAGACCAAUGGCACCCUGCUGCGGAACGGGGGCCUGCCCGCGGCGCCGGGCCGCGUCCCCAACGGAGAUGUGUGCUGUGUGCCCAGCAGCGGCCUGGAGAAGGUGGUGAUGCCGCCGCACAGGGCGGAGAAGGAGCGGUGUGCCCAGGCCGGAGCCAGGGAGCGAGUGCGGUUCAGCGAGAAGGUGCAGUACCACGGGUACUGCCCCGACUGUGACGUUCGCUACAACAUCAAAAACAGAGAGGUGCACUUGCACAGCGAGCCCGCCCGGGCUGCGGGAAAGCUGCCACACCAGUGCCCUCCUCUGCCGCCUCCUCCACCUCCACUGCCUCCAUUUCUUCUGGAAAAUGGAGGGUUGGGGAUAAGUCCCAGUAAUAGCUUUCCUCCUCCAAGACCUGCAACUGUGCCUCCACAAACUGCGCCAAAACCCCAGAAGACCAUCUUGAGGAAAUCAACCACUACAACAGUGUGAAGUAUGCCCCUUGUAAUAACUCUUUGUUUUUUCCUAUAUAUAAACAUAAAUAGGUAAUGAGCACUUUCUACUUGAGCAAUAAAAAGACCCAGUGUAUUACACCCUGUGUCCAGUGAAGUGGCAUAAAAAUCACAUGGUUCUACACCAGAAGCUGACUUCUCACAAGCUACAGAGGAGGUCAAGUGUUCUGACUCUUUAACUUCUCUCCCCCCAGUCCUUUGAGUAAAGCCACAUUCUCUUGCGGAUGAGUGGAGUUACCUGACACUCAUUGCAGCAACAAAGGCAGCUGAGCCAACCAUUCUCUCCUGGAGUAUUUGCAAGAGCUGUUGAAACAAAAGUUGACCCCUGCAAAGGAAGCACCUUCAGGCUUGAAGGAAUAUCUGUAUUUGGAGGCACGUCAAUUAAUUUGCGUAUCAGAUUCAUCAUUGUGACUUCUUGCAGGCCAGAUCUGAGAAGUAACCAGGAAACCUGACCUUUAGUGGAGAAUGGAAGAACCCUUGAAGUCAGAGCACAACUGAGCACUAGUGUAAUCUGCAUUGAAUCAUCUUUCUCAGAUCUGACAGCUAGAAGCUGAGUCCUGGCAACAGCCACAGCCUUAAAUUCCAUUCAGUGGGAAAGAAGGAUAAGAGAACUCAAUGUUUUGCCCCAUUGCAGAAACUGCUGUUUCCAGGCCUAACACCUGAGUCCUGUGCUGAGCAACAAGAGUACCAAACAAGGAGGUUUUUAUGGGUACAGCCAACAUCAACAAAUAUUUCAAUAUGUAGCCAAAAGGAAAAAGGAAGCACUUAGUAAUUUCAGAAAAUGGAUGCAUUUAUUGUAACAGAGAAAUGUUACUGUCUGUGGGGAAGAAGACCUCUGUUGUCCCUUGUAUGUAUUCAAAGCCAUACAGGAACAGGGCAUAAGGGAAGUCACUUAAAAGGAUGCUCUCUCCUGUCCUCCACCCAACUUUGAGGAAGUUCUGCUCUUAGAGAUUGCAUCUCGAGGCACUUCUGUUAUUUGCACUGUCACUUCCAUUCAGGGUAAUGAUGUGUGCCACCAUUUGCACAGAUGGCCCCAGGAGAUUUUUGACCACAACAAGCUAUACUUUGCCAGGGCUCCAAAUGGAAUUUAAAAGUUAGAACUGAAGAAACAUUUAUGCUCUCUUUUACUAUGGGGAUCUCUUCACAGAAAGGAUUAUGGUCCUUUCUUAGGAUGAAAUAAAUACAUGCAUAUACAUACAUAUAUACAUAUGUAUAUAUAUGAAAAAACAGCAACAUGAUAAGGUGUAUUUAAAAAGGGGAUAUAAUCUUUUUUAAUAGCAUCCAUUUUUUUUAUCAUAUUAGCAGCCGAGAAAUUUAAUCUAUUGAAUUAUACAUCAAAAAACGUUCCUGUUGAACAUUGACAUUUAGUCCCAGUUACUGCUAAAGAAGUCAUUUGUAAUAUGUACUUGACAUAAAAUUUUUCUAGCCAUUUGUCUAUGCUUCAUGGAGAAAUCUAACAGACAAGCAACAUUUUCAGUUUAUUUUUCUAAAUAAAUGUGUUGUUUGUAUUAUUUGCAGUCACUCAUUUUGGCUGGUUUUCAUUAUCUCCAAAAGUGAUUUAAAGACAGAACCAAAACACAGGGAUUGUUUGUUCUUGUUAAGCUGUAAUGAUUUGCUGAAUGAAAGCUUUAAUAUAAAUACUGUAAUUUGUAAAAUGAUGAAGUAUAUUUAUAUAGGCAAAUAUGUAUGGAAAACAAAAGGAGGUAUUUUAACUCUUAAUUUCAGAACAUAGUUUAUUUUAAUAUCCACAGGAAGAAAUUAAAUAUAUAAUGGGAUAGGGUUUUUAUUAUCAAUGAGUUUUACUAAGUGAAAAUUUGGAUGUUUAAGAAUGAAAUGAAUGUAGUCAAAUAAUGGUGGUUUCCCAAAUUAUACGAAGACCUUUUGCCAGUUGUCUCAUUUUACUCAAAAACUGAUUUAAUCAUCAGGGGGUUGGGUUUUUCUGGGGGGGUGUGUGUGCUAAGGUUUUUGUUUGGUGUUUUGUUUGUUUUGGCAUACUGACAGGACCAUGAAUUUGAUACUAUUUGCUCAUAAUUUGAAAAGCUACAGAAUAAAAUAUUGUUUCUUAGAACAAUCUACAGUUUGCAGUUAAGAACAGUCAUUGUUAUCAAACUAAUGCAGUGUUUUGUUGUAGAGUUACUGAACAUUUCAAUGCUAGAGCUGUUUUGAAUAAAUUUUUUUUCCAUUUUUUCUUAGUCCAUUAGCCUAUGUGUAAUUCAAAGAGAAAAGUAAUGCAUUUGGUUCCCAGUUCACUUAAAUAAUGUGUCUUAAUUCCAGUUAUAUGUAUCUGAUUUUUAAGAAGCUGAAUAGCUUUUUUUUUUUCCAGUUCAUUGCUUUAUAGAAGCAUUUGAAGUGCUUUUAAGUGCUCACUACCAGAAAAAAUACCUUUCAACAACAGAAAUAAUUUUCAAAAAAUCUGUGGGUUAACUUUGUGGAGGGCAGAUGUCUUAAAAAUGUGUUGCUCUGCUCUAAUGUGCUAACAAGUGUAAUGCGUGUAUGUUUGUGUGUGCGUGUGCACGCAUGGCACCCUUACCUGCUCAUGAAUGAAAUGCCAGCUCUGCUGAAGUAAGUGCCACAAGUCCUGUUACUGCAAAAGAUGCUCAUGUUACUGUAUUCUUUGGUGAAAGACCUCUGUCUUUGCUUGUGACUCUGAAGCCAUAAACAGCUUUUGAAGUUUGUCAGGAAAUCAGAAAAUUAAGUAUAUUUAUGUUAGGCUCCUUCAUUUGGCAAAAAUUGGGAUGAUCUUAUGAUUUGACUCAUUUUAUGAAAGUUAGUGGUCAAUUUCCUUUGGCGCAAUGGAUAAAUGAAACCUUUGUGUUUGUUGAAGAAUGAUGUCUGUGUUUUGUUCACACACAAUUCAGCUUUUGGCUUAUAGUGUUCUUACUGUGAUGUCAUUCCUGUAUCAUUAGAAUAACUUAUUUGGACACAUAACUGGCAUGGGCUUGGUUUUCCUCCUUUUUUGGAUUAUCGGUAUUUUAAAAUUGGAGAGCUUCUUCUUUGAGACAAGUAUUCAGUUGUUUAAGAAGGGAACAACAUUAUUGAAACAAUAAGAAAAUUUCAGAAUAAUAAUUCGAACACUUCCAUCAUUGUCCAAUAAUAACACUUGAAAAAGCUCUUAUUUUUGUGAACAAAAUGCAUUCAUCUGUAUUUGAAAAUAGCCCAAUAAAAAUCCAGUGGAAUAAUUUGUUACUACUUGCAAAUACUUUUCUGCUAUGCUGAGUUCUAGAUCAACUUGUGUGUAAAAUUUUUAUUGCACAAAACCCACCUAAAACAAUGCUCAGUUUUCUUCAGAAAAAUACAUGAGAUAUGAAAUAUAAUGAUUUCGUCCCAGGAGUGGUUUUAUGUAAUUUGUGCAAUGCAAAAAUGAUGAACAGAUACCAACAUGUAGGCCUAAUUUAAGUGACAGAUGUAAUUGGAAGAUAACACUGCAAACCACAGGUCUCAUUAAUCACAUGCUGUUAUUUGCACCUCUGCUUAACUGGGACUUCAUGCUGGAAAGUAAAUUUCAGUGUGCGUGCACACUCAUACAGUGUUAUGUAUCAUGUCUUAUUUUAGUAGCAGUGUCACUGGGAGAAAUUCAGAAAUUUUCUUGAUUUAAAUUAAAUUCUUAGAUAAGUAUUCAAUAUUGGAUAUAAAUUGAGAUGAUGUCUGCAUAUUGUGCAGAUACUCCCAUCAGAUAGCAUUUCAACACAAUUUCAGAAAUUGCUGGCAAAUAAUUAUCACUGAAAUUUUGUAGUUUAAAACCGGAGGAGAUAAUUAUAUUAUCUAUUGAACAGCAAAAAAAUUGUGGUAUUUCCGUUAUGUUCAUCCAAGCAUACUGACAACACCAGGAGAACUUUUUCCCCUGAGAUGACUUUUCAGCAGCUAAUGGGUCCUUUUGUGGGUAUUUGUGUCAUGCAUACAAGAAAGGCCUACACAAAUAGUUCUGGCCUAAUAGUGCAUUGUUCCCUUAGAGGGCAUCUGAAAAGCCACCUGGAGCAGCCAAUAAGUUUGAAAGGAUGAGGUGUGCAAAACAAAAUGCUGACAGAUCUAGACUUGUCUGCAAGACAGAAUUUCAGCACUUGAAAUUUUUAAAAGACAAGGAUCGCCAUCUUUCAUGAGAAAAAUUGGGAUAUGUUAAAAUAGCUCUUUUACAGAGCGGAAGACAAAGACUAUGAAAACCUGGUGAUCACCAGGGUGAUAUACAAGUGUCCCUCCUGACAGAGCUGCUCCAAGUGUCACAUGUUGAGAAUAUCCCCAAGGGACAGGUUUUGUUUUUACCCCUGUGAUCAGUGGUGUGCUGGGUACAUGGCAAGGCAGUGAUGUUGUUACUAAAAGCUGACCACAAGACAGUGGUAGGCUGUUGUCUAAGGAGAGCUGGAGGAAGGACAGCCACCAUUCUGCCCAGGAGUGUCCUGCUAGGGAGGAAGCUGUUACUGAGACUGGAUCAUAGAAGGAAUCUCAGAGGACUACUGAGACUAAAUCAAUGAUUUUCAUGAACUGGACUAUUGAAGAUGCCAUGAGAGGGGAAAAAAAAGGAUGUUGUUCAAAAUACUUCUCUCUCUAGAUUCAAUGUCCUUGCAGAUCUGCUAGGAAGCCAUGAAAUCUCCCCACAGCUGGGCUGAAUUUCAGAAAAGAUAAUUAUAAGCAAGAACUCCUGUUCAGGAGAAUCUGGAAGGAAUAGGGUAAAGUCAUGGCAGAUGGCAUAGAGACUAUUCAAGUUAUUCUUGAAGGAAGAGAGUAAAUACAUUCUGCUUAGCUAGAAAGGCUUGAGAAAGGGUAAAAGGGAAACCACACGGCUAAUCAGCAGGGUAUCAGAGGCUACUGAGGGCAAGAAGUCCUUCAGAUAGUUGAAGAUUUUUAAAGAAAGUGUAAGGAUUAAAUGUAAGACUAAAUACAAAUUUAAAAAGAAAAAAAAACCCCAAACAACAAACCCAGAGCAACAUUAAUCAAAUCAACUCCAAGAUACUUAAGAGAUUUCUUAAUUAAAAUAGUUGAAAGAAACUAGAAUUAAGAAAUUCUGUUUCUGCAGCAGAGCAGAGGGAAGUCUGGGAGACCAUCUGUAAUGCUGAAAGAUAAUCAAGGAAAACAGAAGCACUUGCAAGAAGCUUUAGGAACAAGAUGGUCAGAACACUUUAACUCUGCUCAUGCUGUGGAAGAACUUUUGUAGGUUCUCACACAUUAUUUUUUUUUGUGGGGGAGCUCAUAUGAAGUCAUGGUUUGCCAGUUUGAGGUGGUACAAAACAAAAUGAAGGGAUAUAAAGCUAAGAUUUUUAAAGACACUCCGGGGUGAAGUAGCCAAAUCAUGCCUGUGGAAUGAAAUUCUUUGUUUAAAGUUAUUUUGAUAGCUUUUGAGAUGUGAGGUUGCAACUAUGUUGCCAGUUUUAUAUUGAAAGAGUAUGGUCCAUUGAAUCACUAUGAGGCAAAAGCAUUCAAACUUCAAUAAUGUAUCUCUAAAAAGAGCUAAACACAUCUAACGGUGUCAAUAUUACCAAACACCACAGGAAAUUGCACAGAUGGCUAAGAGAAAACACAAAAGAAACUGCAGCUGGCUAAGAGGAAAGUUCCUAACUUCAUAAAAAGAUGAAAAAUAUUGGAGAAAAUAGUGAUUUUUGUGUCAGUUUUCACAGGCGACAGAGGCCAAGAGUGAAUUUCCAAGGGACAUAUUCUGUGAUCCAUGUGUUUCAAAAUAUAUUUGAACAUGUGAAUAUGCUGGAAAAGUAGUGUAUAGUUAAGUGGUGAAUUUGGUGAUCAUACUAAAUUAAUAAAGAUGAUAAAUAGGA